rnacentral:rRNA from 1 species
AACGAACGCUGGCGGCAUGCCUAACACAUGCAAGUCGAACGAGACCUUCGGGUCUAGUGGCGCACGGGUGCGUAACGCGUGGGAACCUGCCCUUAGGUUCGGAAUAACUCCCCGAAAGGGGUGCUAAUACCGGAUAAUGUCUUCGGACCAAAGAUUUAUCGCCUUUGGAUGGGCCCGCGUUGGAUUAGCUAGUUGGUAGGGUAAAAGCCUACCAAGGCGACGAUCCAUAGCUGGUCUGAGAGGAUGAUCAGCCACACUGGGACUGAGACACGGCCCAGACUCCUGCGGGAGGCAGCAGUGGGGAAUAUUGGACAGUGGGCGAAAGCCUGAUCCAGCAAUGCCGCGUGAGUGAUGAAGGCCUUAGGGUUGUAAAGCUCUUUUACCCGGGAUGAUAAUGACAGUACCGGGAGAAUAAGCUCCGGCUAACUCCGUG